AGAAUCAACGCUGGCGGCGUGCCUAACACAUGCAAGUCGCACGAGAAAGGGUAGCAAUACCUGAGUAAAGUGGCGCACGGGUGAGUAACACGUGAAUUAUCUACCUCCGAGUGGGGAAUAACUGAGAGAAAUCUUAGCUAAUACCGCAUAACACUUACGAGUCAAAGCAGCAAUGCGCUUGGAGAGGAGUUCGCGGCCGAUUAGUUAGUUGGCGGGGUAAUGGCCCACCAAGACGAUGAUCGGUAUCCGGCCUGAGAGGGCGCACGGACACACUGGAACUGAAACACGGUCCAGACUCCUACGGGAGGCAGCAGUGGGGGAAUUUUGCGCAAUGGGGGAAACCCUGACGCAGCAACGCCGCGUGGAGGAUGAAAUAUCUUGGUAUGUAAACUCCUUUCGAUGGGGAAGAUUAUGACGGUACCCAUAGAGAAGCCCCGGCUAACUUCGUGCCAGCAGCCGC
rnacentral:rRNA from 1 species